rnacentral:rRNA from 1 species
UAGGGAAUCUUCGGCAAUGGACGAAAGUCUGACCGAGCAACUCCGCGUGAGUGAAGAAGGUUUUCGGAUCGUAAAACUCUGUUGUUAGAGAAGAACAAGGACGUUAGUAACUGAACGUCCCCUGACGGUAUCUAACCAGAAAGCCACGGCUAACUACGUGCCAGCAGCCGCGGUAAUACGUAGGUGGCAAGCGUUGUCCGGAUUUAUUGGGCGUAAAGCGAGCGCAGGCGGUUUCUUAAGUCUGAUGUGAAAGCCCCCGGCUCAACCGGGGAGGGUCAUUGGAAACUGGGAGACUUGAGUGCAGAAGAGGAGAGUGGAAUUCCAUGUGUAGCGGUGAAAUGCGUAGAUAUAUGGAGGAACACCAGUGGCGAAGGCGGCUCUCUGGUCUGUAACUGACGCUGAGGCGAGAAAGCGUGGGGAGCAAACAGG